rnacentral:rRNA from 1 species
GAUGAACGCUGGCGGCGUGCCUAAUACAUGCAAGUCGAGCGAACGGACGAGAAGCUUGCUUCUCUGAUGUUAGCGGCGGACGGGUGAGUAACACGUGGAUAACCUACCUAUAAGACUGGGAUAACUUCGGGAAACCGGAGCUAAUACCGGAUGAUAUUUUGAACCGCAUGGUUCAAAAGUGAAAGACGGUCUUGCUGUCACUUAUAGAUGGAUCCGCGCUGCAUUAGCUAGUUGGUAAGGUAACGGCUUACCAAGGCAACGAUGCAUAGCCGACCUGAGAGGGUGAUCAGCCACACUGGAACUGAAACACGGUCCAGACUCCUACGGGAGGCAGCAGUAGGGAAUAUUCCGCAAUGGGCGAAAGCCUGACGGAGCAACGCCGCGUGAGUGAUGAAGGUCUUCGGAUCGUAAACCUCUGUUAUUAGGGAAGAACAUAUGUGUAAGUAACUGUGCACAUCUUGACGGUACCUAAUCAGAAAGCAACGGCUAACUACGUG